UACGUAGGGUGCAAGCGUUGUCCGGAAUUAUUGGGCGUAAAGAGCUCGUAGGCGGUCAGUCGCGUCUGCUGUGAAAACUCGGGGCUUAACUCCGGGCCUGCAGUGGGUACGGGCUGACUAGAGUGCGGUAGGGGAGACUGGAAUUCCUGGUGUAGCGGUGAAAUGCGUAGAUAUCAGGAGGAACACCGGUGGCGAAGGCGGCCCUCUGGACGGUGACUGACGCUGAGACGCGAAAGCGUGGGGAGCAAACAGG
rnacentral:rRNA from 1 species